rnacentral:rRNA from 1 species
AUGAAGCGAUUUGGAGUUAAGGGAAAGUUAGCACCACGUUUUGUGGGACCAUACAAAGUUUUGGAACGUAUGGGAGAGGUUGCUUACAAGUUGGAAUUACCCGAAGGAUUGUCAGGAGUUCACGAUGUGUUCCACAUUUCUCAGUUGAAGAAGUGCCACACACAGAUGGCUGAUAUUCCUCUGAGAGAUACAGUGCCACUGGAAGUGAUACAGUUGGAUAGCGAUUUGACCUACGAGGAGAAGCCAGUCAGAAUUCUCGAGUUUGUCAGCCGAGUUACACGCAACAUGGUUAUCAAAUUUUGCAAUGUUCAAGGAUGA